AUAGAUACCCCACUAUGCUUAGCUGUAAAAUAUUAACCCACACUUAAACCGCCAGGGAAUAACGAGCCCAAGCUUAAAACCCAAAGGACUUGACGGUGUCCCAUCCCACUAGAGGAGCCUGUUCUAUAAUCGAUUCUCCCCGAUUUACCUCACCACUUCUUGAAUGUCCAGUCUGUAUACCUCCGUCGCAAGCUUACCGUAUGAACGCGCCUAGUGAGCUAAAAGAUAUACUAUCAACACGUCAGGUCAAGGUGCAACCCACGAAGCGGAAAGAAAUGGGCUACAAUCUCUAUACUAGAACAAACGGAAGACUGUAUGAAAUACAGCUACUAAAGGUGGAUUUAGUAGUAAAAAGAAACUAGAGAGUUCUUUUUAACUAGGCCCUGGAACGCGUACACACCGCCCGUCACCCUCUUCAAACAAACUAAAAAGUUUAUAACAUUAUAUAAUCAUAUAGAAGAGGCAAGUCGUAACAUGGUAAGUGUACUGGAAAGUGCACUUGGAACAAAAUGUAGCUUAAUUAAAGCAUCUCGCUUACACCUAGAACAUGCCCGUGAAACUCUGACCAUUUUGAGCCUAACCCAAAGCCCUUCUAACCCCAAAUAAAAUCCCUCUUAUAAACAAACUAACUAAAACAUUUUCUUAACUCAGUAAAGGCGAUUAAAAAGUUUCUAGGAGCCUUAACUCUAGUACCGCAAGGGAAAAGUGAAAUAAAAUUGAAAUAAUUUAAAGCACUAUAAAGUAGAGGGGCCCCCUCGUACCUU
rnacentral:rRNA from 1 species